rnacentral:rRNA from 1 species
GAUGAACGCUGGCGGCGUGCCUAAUACAUGCAAGUCGAGCGAACAGAUAAGGAGCUUGCUCCUUUGAAGUUAGCGGCGGACGGGUGAGUAACACGUGUGUAACCUACCUAUAAGACUGGGAUAACUUCGGGAAACCGGAGCUAAUACCGUAUAACAUUUAGAACCGCAUGGUUCUAAAGUGAAAGAUGGUUUUGCUAUCACUUAUAGAUGGACCCGCGCCGUAUUAGCUAGUUGGUAAGGUAACGGCUUACCAAGGCGACGAUACGUAGCCGACCUGAGAGGGUGAUAGGCCACACUGGAACUGAGACACGGUCCAGACUCCUAAGGGAGGCAGCAGUAGGGAAUCUUCCGCAAUGGGCGAAAGCAUGACGGAGCAACGCCGCGUGAGUGAUGAAGGGUUUCGGCUCGUAAAACUCGGUUAUUAGGGAAGAACAAAUGUGUAAGUAACUGUGCACAUCUUGACGGUAACUAAUCAGAAAGCCACGGCUAACUACGUG